rnacentral:rRNA from 1 species
UACGUAGGCAGCGAGCGUUGUUCGGAAUUACUGGGCGUAAAGGGCGCGUAGGCGGCUUGACAAGUCACUUGUGAAAUCUCCGGGCUUAACUCGGAAUGGCCAAGUGAAACUGUCAUGCUAGAGUGCAGAAGGGGCAAUCGGAAUUCUUGGUGUAGCGGUGAAAUGCGUAGAUAUCAAGAGGAACACCUGAGGUGAAGACGGGUUGCUGGGCUGACACUGACGCUGAGGCGCGAAAGCCAGGGGAGCAAACGGG